AUUGAACGCUGGCGGCAUGCUUUACACAUGCAAGUCGAACGGUAACAGGGUGCUUGCACCGCUGACGAGUGGCGAACGGGUGAGUAAUGCGUCGGAACGUGCCGAGUAGUGGGGGAUAACGCAGCGAAAGUUGUGCUAAUACCGCAUACGUACUGAGGUAGAAAGUGGGGGACCUUCGGGCCUCACGCUAUUCGAGCGGCCGACGUCUGAUUAGCUAGUAGGUGAGGUAAAGGCUCACCUAGGCGACGAUCAGUAGCGGGUCUGAGAGGAUGAUCCGCCACACUGGGACUGAGACACGGCCCAGACUCCUACGGGAGGCAGCAGUGGGAAUUUUGGACAAUGGGCGAAAGCCUGAUCCAGCCAUGCCGCGUGUCUGAAGAAGGCCUUCGGGUUGUAAAGGACUUUUGCCAGGGAGGAAAUCCCUAGUGCUAAUAACACUGGGGGAUGACAGUACCUGAAGAAUAAGCACCGGCUAACUACGUGCCAGCCGCCGUAAGAC
rnacentral:rRNA from 1 species